rnacentral:lncRNA from 1 species
AUAAUUAAUCCCUCGGCCGAGAAGGAGUCAGAUGCCUGUCUGGAUGGCGCCUGCCUCUCUGCCUGUCAUUGUCGCCCCUCCCGCUCGCUGGUUCCUCUUCUCUCGGGUCCCCCAAAGACGAUCUCAAGAAACGAACAGACGUGACCACGAAAGGAAGAACCGACACGGAGAUCCCCUCCUCCGCCCCCCCCCAGGCCACCCAAACCCUGAUAACUAAAAGGGUUGCCAGUAAGAUUUCUCUCCAGCAGGGUUUGGUCCCAACAGAAGUAGGAUCAACACUUCAACAGAAGGAGUGAUAAUGGCAGGCAGGCAGGCAGGCAGGCAGGAGCUGAUGGAAGGAAGGGAGGAAGGAAAAGAGAGAAGGAAGGAAGGAGGGAGCUGAUGCUGGAUGCAAGGAAGGAAGGAAGGAAGGAAAAUGGGGAGGAGACUCUGUGCCCAAUAAAUAGUUCUAAUUUGCAUCCUGAGGAAAGAAAAGAGGAGAAAAGCUCUACAUGGGAUGGUUCAUAGAUUGAGCAAGGGGCUGCCUCACCCCAACAUUUCAAGGAUCAAGCUUCCCAGUUCUAGUUGUGAACACCCUAUGCCCCCCCCAUUGACCUUCCCAAAUUGGGUCCCUCAAGGACUUCUCUCUCCCCGGAAAAGGCCAGCCGCUGCCCCUCGCGGUCUGAGCUGGUGCCUGAAUGUCUUUGCUUUCCUCUGCCCUCCUCAUCUUUUCCUUUUAUGUCAUAUCUUUCCUCUCUCUCUCUCUCUCUCUCUCUCUCUCUUAGGUUCCAGACUUAAGGGCGAGGAUGGUGUGGUGUUGCAUUUGAUGGUUCUGGCAUCUGCCUCUUUCCAGCUGUGCUACCUUUCCAAGAAUGGGCCAAAAUGGACUCGCAGGGCUCAGAGGAGGUUCUGGGGUGACGGAAGGCCAGCAGCACGGGCCCAGCCCUGAAAACGAUCCCCUCCCGGUGCCAUCGGUCUGGUGGUGAGCUCGAAAACAAAGCGAUGCCUUUUUCACCACCCCCUGCUCAGCGAUUUGUUCCAGCCUUCUGGAACCCACAUAUUCCCCCAUGCAGAGCAGGUACUCUAGCACUGAGGUUUUGCGAAUUCAAGUUUCUAGUCCUCAUGGUUCUAAUUAAAGG